UACGGAGGGUGCAAGCGUUACCCGGAAUCACUGGGCGUAAAGGGCGUGUAGGCGGGAUGCUAAGUCUGGCUUUGAAGACCGGAGCUCAACUCCGGGAAUGGGCUGGAGACUGGCAUUCUGGACCUCUGGAGAGAGAACUGGAAUUCCUGGUGUAGCGGUGGAAUGCGUAGAUACCAGGAGGAACACCAACGGCGAAGGCAGGUUCUUGGACAGAAGGUGACGCUGAGGCGCGAAAGUGUGGGGAGCGAACCGG
rnacentral:rRNA from 1 species